AGCCUUAUGUAUCCGCGCUGAGAUUUCAUCAGUGAUCCACCCAUUGGAGCUGAUGCAACUUCCCAAAUAAGUGAAGUG
rnacentral:pre_miRNA from 1 species